rnacentral:rRNA from 1 species
GGCGAACGCUGGCGGCGUGCCUAAUACAUGCAAGUAGAACGCACAGUUUAUACCGUAGCUUGCUACACCAUAGACUGUGAGUUGCGAACGGGUGAGUAACGCGUAGGUAACCUGCCUGGUAGCGGGGGAUAACUAUUGGAAACGAUAGCUAAUACCGCAUAAUAUUAAUUAUUGCAUGAUAAUUAAUUGAAAGGUGCAAUUGCACCACUACCAGAUGGACCUGCGUUGUAUUAGCUAGUAGGUGAGGUAACGGCUCACCUAGGCGACGAUACAUAGCCGACCUGAGAGGGUGAUCGGCCACACUGGGACUGAGACACGGCCCAGACUCCUACGGGAGGCAGCAGUAGGGAAUCUUCGGCAAUGGACGAAAGUCUGACCGAGCAACGCCGCGUGAGUGGAGAAGGUUUUCGGAUCGUAAAGCUCUGUUGUAAGAGAAGAACGGGUGUGAGAGUGGAAAGUUCACACUGUGACGGUAUCUGACCAGAAAGGGACGGCUAACUACGUG